GGUGAACCGUGUCGCAAGAGGGAACCCGGUGCGAGUCCGGGACUGCCCCGCAGCGGUGAGUGGGAACGAAAGUCGCCAUGAGCACUGGUACUCCGACCGGAACGGUCGGCGGCUGGGAAGCGGCGUCGAGUAGGUGAGCCGGUCGACCGGCGGCGCCCACGAGUCCGAAGACCUGCC
rnacentral:ncRNA from 2 species